rnacentral:rRNA from 1 species
CUACGGGAGGCUGCAGUGAGGAAUAUUGCACAAUGGGGGGAACCCUGAUGCAGCAACGCCGCAUGGAGGAUGACGCAUUUCGGUGUGUAAACUCCUUUUAUAUGUCAAGAAAAUGACGGUAGCAUAUGAAUAAGCACCGGCUAACUCCGUGCCAGCAGCCGCGGUAAUACGGAGGGUGCAAGCGUUACUCGGAAUCACUGGGCGUAAAGGACGCGUAGGCGGGUUGGAAAGUCAGGUGUGAAAUCCUACAGCUUAACUGUAGAACUGCACUUGAACUUCUAAUCUAGAGUAUGGGAGGGGGAGAUGGAAUUAGUGGUGUAGGGGUAAAAUCCGUAGACAUCACUAGGAAUACCUAAAGCGAAGGCGAUCUCCUGGAACAUUACUGACGCUAAGGCGUGAAAGCGUGGGGAGCAAACAGGAUUAGAUACCCCAGUAGUC